AGUGAACGCUGGCGGUAGGCCUAACACAUGCAAGUCGAACGGCAGCACAGUAAGAGCUUGCUCUUACGGGUGGCGAGUGGCGGACGGGUGAGGAAUACAUCGGAAUCUACUUUUUCGUGGGGGAUAACGUAGGGAAACUUACGCUAAUACCGCAUACGACCUACGGGUGAAAGCAGGGGAUCUUCGGACCUUGCGCGAUUGAAUGAGCCGAUGUCGGAUUAGCUAGUUGGCGGGGUAAAGGCCCACCAAGGCGACGAUCCGUAGCUGGUCUGAGAGGAUGAUCAGCCGCACUGGAACGGGAACACGGUCCAGACUCCUGCGAGAGGCAGCAGUGGGGAAUAUUGGACAGUGGGCGCAAGCCUUAUCCAGCCAUACCGCGUGGGUGAAGAAGGCCUUCGGGUUGUAAAGCCCUUUUGUUGGGAAAGAAAAGCAGCAGGUUAAUACCCCGCUGUUCUGACGGUACCCAAAGAAUAAGCACCGGCUAACUUCGUG
rnacentral:rRNA from 1 species